rnacentral:sRNA from 1 species
CUUGGUCAUUUAGAGGAAGUAAAAGUCGUAACAAGGUUUCCGUAGGUGAACCUGCGGAAGGAUCAUUACAGAAUAAACUUGAUGGAUUGUUGCUGGCUCUCUCUUGGGAGCAUUGUGCACGUUCAUUAUUUUUAUCUUUCCACCUGUGCACCCUUUGUAGUUCUGGAAUACCUUUAUAGUUAAAGCUUGUCCCAAGUCUUAACUAUGUUUUUGAAGGCUUGCUGUGCUAUUAAAGUCGGCUUUCCUUUACAUUUUCCAGAUCUAUGUUUUUACAUCUACACCAUGUAUGUUAAAGAAUGUCAUUUAAGGCCUUACAAAGCCUAUAUAAACCAUAUACAACUUUCAGCAACGGAUCUCUUGGUUCUCGCAUCGAUGAAGAACGCAGCGAAAUGCGAUAAGUAAUGUGAAUUGCAGAAUUCAGUGAAUCAUCGAAUCUUUGAACGCACCUUGCGCUCUUUGGUAUUCCGAAGAGCAUGCCUGUUUGAGUGUCAUUAAAUCAUCAAAUUGUUCAAUUUUAUUAUUGAAUAUAUUUGGAUGUGGAAGUGUUGUUGGCCCCCUCGGUCAGCUCUUCUAAAAUGUAUUAGCCGGAAGCUUUUGUAACCGUCUAUUGGUGUGAUAAUUAUCUAUACCAUUGACAGCUACGCACUUAGUAUAAGCAUUCUGCUCCUAACCCGUCUGUGUAUGCGGACAAUCUUUGACAAUUUGACCUCAAAUCAGGUAGGACUACCCGCUGAACUUAAGCAUAUCAAUAAGCGGAGGAAAAGAAACUAACAAGGAUUCCCCUAGUAACUGCGAGUGAAGCGGGAAAAGCUCAAAUUUAAAAUCUAGCAGCCUUUGGUUGUUCGAGUUGUAAUCUAGAGAAGUGUUAUCCGUGUUGGACCGUGUUUAAGUCUCCUGGAAUGGAGCGUCAUAGAGGGUGAGAAUCCCGUCUUUGACACGGACUACCAAUGCAUUGUGAUGCGCUCUCAAAGAGUCGAGUUGUUUGGGAAU